rnacentral:rRNA from 1 species
GUGGGGGAUAUUGGACAAUGGGGGGAACCCUGAUCCAGCGACGCCGCGUGAGUGAAGAAGUAUCUCGGUAUGUAAAGCUCUAUCAGCAGGGAAGAAAAUGACGGUACCUGACUAAGAAGCCCCGGCUAACUACGUGCCAGCAGCCGCGGUAAUACGUAGGGGGCAAGCGUUAUCCGGAUUUACUGGGUGUAAAGGGAGCGUAGACGGCAGGGCAAGUCUGGAGUGAAAGCCCGGGGCCCAACCCCGGGACUGCUUUGGAAACUGCCAUGCUGGAGUGCUGGAGAGGUAAGCGGAAUUCCUAGUGUAGCGGUGAAAUGCGUAGAUAUUAGGAGGAACACCAGUGGCGAAGGCGGCUUACUGGACAGUAACUGACGUUGAGGCUCGAAAGCGUGGGGAGCAAACAGG